GACGAACGUUGGCGGCGUGCUUAAUACAUGCAAGUCAACUGAAGCAGUGGUAGCAAUAUCGCUGUGGAGGUGGCGCACGGGUGAGUAACACGUAGGUAAUCUGCCUUCAGGUCUGGCAUAACUCCGGGAAACCGGGGCUAAUAGCAGAUGAUGCAGCGGCUCGACAUCGAGACAGUUGUUAAAGCUAUGGCGCCUGAAGAUGAGCCUGCGUCUGAUUAGCUAGUUGGCGGGGUAACGGCCCACCAAGGCAACGAUCAGUAGCUGGUCUGAGAGGAUGAUCAGCCACACUGGAACGGAGCCAAGGUCCAGACUACUCCGGGAGGCAGAAGUAAGGAAUAUUGCUCAAUGGGAGAAAUAGCGAAGCAGCAACGCUGCGUGAGGGACGAAGGGCUUUUACUUGUAAACCUCUGUAGUGAGAGAAAAAAAUCCCAAUCUGUGGGACAUGAUGGUAUCUAAAAAGUAAGCCACGGCUAACUACGUG
rnacentral:rRNA from 1 species